UGAAACCUGAAACAUGCCAACAUGGGAUUAGAUCCUAUUGAAGGCAAGACCAUAUAUAUGAAUCCGAACCCAAGCCCAGGAUAUAAACAUGAUUGCUACAACAUAGUAGGUAAAAUCAUGUCAGAAAAAGAAGUCAAAUUCAAAAUGAUCAAGAACUCCAUCCUAAGAAUGUGAGGUAACCCAAAAGAUGUCUCUAUUUCAAAAGUUGCACGAAACACUGUCCUAAUCAGCUUCAAAGACAGUAAAAAAGAAACAAAAUCUGGGUAUCCAUAGAUGUUACCAGGCCUCUCCACACCGGCUUCUACUUGGGCAGAGGUGAGCUUCAGGAUUGCUAUUGCUUUAACUGCAGUAUCAUCGGUCACGAGAAAAAGAACUGCAAAAAUUUUAAAGCCAUCCAAACUGCUGUAUGAUGUAGGUUUAGGAACAACCGGAGCCAAACCGCUAACCAUGGAAGGAGGAAUGGAGAAAGAUGAAGAAAAUCGGAAACGAGACGAGGCGCGUGGGAACCAAGCGAAAGAGAGGGAGAGUUGUGACAAACAUAGCUCAGAGGACAAUAGCAAAACCCGCUGGAUACAAAUAAUUUCUGAAAUGGAAGUGACAUUCAGAAAAUUGAAAAUACAAGAAGCAGGGGAUUUAGGUGGCGAUAAGAAAGAAACAAAAGAGAAUGCAAAUCCACUGUUACAAGUUAAACCCCCCGGAGACAGCAACCACAACAUCAUCAAUCACAUUGGAGCUAUUACCCUUAGAAUUUUUUUCCCAACUCAUUUCAUCAAAAAACCAAACCUUAGCAGAGAGAGUCCUUCCUCCAUGAAAACCAAAUCUUAGGGAGUUUUUUUCUACAAAUUCAUGGAGGUCCCACCGGCGUGGCACCGCUUCGCCACCGAUUUGCAUGACCACCGCACUCUUUGUGUUCGUGUUAAUCAUCACAACUCACCUCGGUUCCCAGCGACUGCAUUUUCGCCGCCAUCGUCGCAACUCUUCGGAUCCUUCGCGUUGUGUGGAAGUGUCUGCCUCUCUCCAUCUGAGCUCGGUUGCUCUCGUCUGCUUGAGUUGUGCUUUCUGUUUAUGUCGUCUCCCUUCACCCCCUCUCCCUCCUCGCAAUAAUCAUCAAAACACAGAAUCUUUUUCAAGCACAGGGAUUUUAACGGUUAGCGAUAGAAUGGAAGAAAAUUCUCAACCUGAUUCAAAGCAAACUAAGCACGAAGAUACAAAACUAGUUGAGUGUUUGGUGGAGCUUGCAACUACUUCUUGAAAGUGUGGCAAUGACACGUUCAAAUCCGAUUAUAAAAAACAUUUGAAAAAAAUGCUUUAUGAAAAGAUCCAUGUGAUCUUAAGGUACAAUAUCUUAACAUAAUACUUGCUUUUCUUGUUUAUAAUUGUAUAGUUUGUUAAUUUACAAUAUAAAAAUGCAUCUUUGAAUGAAUUGUGGUGCCAUUUAUGCUAUGUAUAGACUAAUUCACACAUUGAAUCAAGGAUAAAAUUGCUUAAGAGACCAUAUUUUGCAAUAGUUGAGAUGAUGAGCACGGCUGGGAGUGGAUUUGGUUGGAACGACAAAGAUAAAAUAAUUGUAGUGAAACAACAAAUUUUCAAUGAAUGGAAAAGUGUAAAUUCUAAACAACUUUCUUAAUUCAAUUUUAUUUAUCUUAACUUUUUAAUAUUUAUUGCUUACUUAUUUUC